GCUGGAUGUGGUACUGCACACCUGAAAUCCCAGCAACUUGGGAGGCUGAGGCAGGAGGAUCACAAGUUCAUGGCCAGCCUAGGCAUCUUAAGCAAGACCCUGUCUCAA
rnacentral:sRNA from 1 species